rnacentral:rRNA from 1 species
CCUCGGGAGGCUGCAGUGGGGAAUAUUGGACAAUGGGCGAAAGCCUGAUCCAGCCAUGCCGCGUGUGUGAAGAAGGCCUUCGGGUUGUAAAGCACUUUCAGUGGGGAAGAAAGCCUUGGGGCUAAUACCCUCGAGGAAGGACAUCACCCACAGAAGAAGCACCGGCUAACUCCGUGCCAGCAGCCGCGGUAAUACGGAGGGUGCGAGCGUUAAUCGGAAUUACUGGGCGUAAAGCGCGCGUAGGCGGUCUGGUAAGCCGGUUGUGAAAGCCCCGGGCUCAACCUGGGAACGGCAUCCGGAACUGUCAGGCUAGAGUGCAGGAGAGGAAGGUAGAAUUCCCGGUGUAGCGGUGAAAUGCGUAGAGAUCGGGAGGAAUACCAGUGGCGAAGGCGGCCUUCUGGACUGACACUGACGCUGAGGUGCGAAAGCGUGGGUAGCAAACAGGAUUAGAUACCCCAGUAGUC